rnacentral:RNase_P_RNA from 1 species
UAGGAAUGUCGGGCGGCCGCCUCGUCCCUCGCGGAUGGGGAGGAAAGUCCGAACACCCCACACGCCGCAAGGCGCGUGCGAAGUGGCAAGUCGCUAACGGCGACCGGGGAUAACAGAUUCAGGGCUCGUGGAAUUGGAUGUGUUUCUACACGUUAUUCCACGACUCCGGACUUGAACCCUAGGGAAAGUGCCACAGAGACCAUACUAGUGUUGCGAAGCAAAACGAUCCCAAGCAAGCCCCGCUUUGCAGGGCGAGCGGAAGGAUCUCGCUACGCAACACGAAACGUGAAAAGUGGCAUGAGGUGUCCGGCGCAGAAGCGACGGACGCUACAUGUCUCGCCCCGCGGUGACGCGGCGGCGUGGUAAACCCUUGCCGGUGAAAGAGCAAAUUUGGUAGCUCGCUAGAGCUGGAUGGCAACAUCCGGCCCAGAUAGAUGGUCGCCUCCCUCGCGCAGUCGCGCGGGGCAGACAAAAUUCGGCUUACAGACACCUCCUGGGAC